AACGCUGGCGGCAGGCUUAACACAUGCAAGUCGAGCGGGCCCUUCGGGGUCAGCGGCGGACGGGUGAGUAACGCGUGGGAACGUGCCUUCUGGUCUGGAAUAACCCUGGGAAACUAGGGCUAAUACCGGAUACGCCCUUUUGGGGAAAGGUUUACUGCCGGAAGAUCGGCCCGCGUCUGAUUAGCUAGUUGGUGGGGUAACGGCCUACCAAGGCGACGAUCAGUAGCUGGUCUGAGAGGAUAAUCAGCCACACUGGGACUGAGACACGGCCCAGACUCCUACGGGAGGCAGCAGUGGGGAAUAUUGGACAAUGGGCGCAAGCCUGAUCCAGCCAUGCCGCGUGAGUGAUGAAGGCCUUAGGGUUGUAAAGCUCUUUUAUCCGGGACGAUAAUGACGGUACCGGAGGAAUAAGCCCCGGCUAACUUCGUG
rnacentral:rRNA from 1 species